GCUUCAAGGCUGAGGAAAUCAUCACAUUGCAAGGAGGUUGCUGAAGGAGGACGAGGAAGCCUGUACUAAAGGUGGCCUCUCACUGCAUCUCCCAGAGCCAACCAUGUGCCUCAGAUGUCUCUGCUGUGUGGCUCUGGUGUUCUGGGGAGCAGGGACCAUGGACACUGAGGUCACCCAGAGCCCAAGACAUCUGGUCAAAGGAAAGGAUCAAAGAGCAAAGAUGGAUUGCAUCCCUAAAAAAGGACACAGUUAUGUUUACUGGUAUCAUAAGAAGCUGGGAGAAGAGCUCAAGUUUUUGGUUUACUUUCAGAAUGAAGACAUCAUAGAGAAAACAGAAAUGAAAGAUAAGCAAAUUUCAGCCCAGUGCCCCAAGAACUCACCCUGCAGCAUAGAGAUCCAGUCCACGGAGCUCACUGACUCAGCCCUGUUCUUGUGUGCCAGUAGCCAAUCCACAGUGCUGAACGGUGGCUUUUCUUAGAACACAAACCCGUUGUGGACCUGCUCAGGAAGCAAGUGAUACGUUCAGUUGUGAAGAACUAACAGAGACUCAGCUUGAGAAAAACACAAGGCCGAAGGAAAAAAGUAUAACCGAUAACUGGAGGUUUGCACAAAGGGGCGCUUCACAGAGCUGAGGGGGACAGAAGCCCAGGAAAGGCCAGCAAAGCAUGAAGGGGGCCCAGGUUCUCCAGUGUGGUUAAGUGACUGCUGCCCACAGCUGUCCUGCCAGCGGAACCUCCCAGAAGCCCUCAGCAACUCCCGCCCUCUGGAAAACUAAAUAGUGCGAUUUUAUAAAUCAACUUUAUAAAGGUGAAAAUCCAUGCAAUAAAACACACCCCAUUUUAAGUGCACCCUUCAAUAAAUCCGGAUAAAUUUUUACACCCAUGUAACCGCUGUGACAAGAUGCAGAGCCUCUUCACCUGCCCCCAAAGCACCCAAUGUCUCUUUAUUGAUGUCUUUGUUAGUUUCUUUCAGCAUUGUUUUAUGGUGUUUAUUAGAUAGGUCUUCUACCACAUAUUUUGUUAAUUUUUUAAAAAUUUGUUUUAAUAAAAUAACUAUGAAUGUA